UAAGCUACAUUACUGCAUACCAGUGAAUUUUGUUUUGCUUUGGUUUUGCUGUAGCAUAAAUUAACAAGGUGUCAAAUGAACAUUGUGACCCCAUUUUUAUCUCCAGCAGACUAAAUUCAGAGCUGAGAACAGGGCUGCCUUCUGCAGCUCAGCAAAACUGUACGUGGAAAAUUUCACAAGCUCAGCUGGUUCUUGGGGACAGCAAAUCUCCGGUAUCCUGACGAUCAUCUGAAGCCUGGAAAAGAGGUGACCUACAUUAAAUUAAGAUAAAAUGCCACUAGUUCAUUGGUAUACUGUAGAGGAAAGAAUCUAAAGGCUUAUGGACAUCAGAACGUUAGAAUGAACUUAACAUGGAAGACCUGCUCACCCACUCUCUGUCUCCCGGAGGAAGUUCCAGGUAUGGAGCUCAGGAGUAAGAGAAUGUACGAAAGAACAGAUGAAUAGAUUUGAGGUAGGUUGGCAUUGAGACAGUAAUUGAAUGAUUCAGGAUUGGCUGAGGUGUCUUAAGAUAAGCAAAUAAACCCCAAAUACACAGACAAAGCAAUA